UCCUCUAGUUAGCCAGUUCCCUGUCGCUAGUGGUGUUUCCUCUAGUUAGCCAGUUCCAUGUCGCUAGUGGUGUUUCCUCUAUUUAGCCAGUUACCUGUCGCUAGUGGUGUUUCCUCUAUUUAGCCAGUUCCCUGUCGCUAGUAGCUAGCUAAGUGUAAGUUGAGCUAGCUAGCGAACGUUAGCUAAAGAUAGUGUGCCUGUGUGUAGAUGCCCCAUGGUGCGGUCACUGUAAGGAGCUGGCUCCUGUCUGGGAGAAGCUGGCAGAGAAGCACGCUGACCGGGAUGACAUCAUCAUUGCCAAGAUGGACGCCACGACCAAUGAGGUGGAGGGAGUGUCUGUGUCUGGCUUCCCUACACUACGAUACUACCCUGCUGGAGAAGACAGCAAGGAGGUAGAGUACAGUGGGACCAGAGACUUGGAGACGUUUGCUAUGUUCCUGGACAAUGGAGGACAGCUUCCGAAGGUGGAAGAGGAGGAUGAGGAUAAUGAAGAGGAGGUGAAGUUGAAGUUGAACUUACCUGACUAAUUAUGCAAACCCCUCCCACUCUAAGCUCUUCUGACCAAUCCCCUGUCACUGUUAAUACAAACACCUCCCACUCCAGCUCUCUUGACCAAUCCCCUCUCUCCUUCUGACAGGUCACUGAUGAGUCAUCGCCACCGCCAGCCAAUGAGACGUCUAAAGACGAGCUGUAAAGUCAGAGCACCGAACCGAUCAAGAGUAGUUUAUUGGUUUCUAUGGUUUCUCUUGGUUUAAUAAUAAAAGUGAUUUGAUUCUGAA